rnacentral:rRNA from 1 species
UGAGGAAUAUUGGACAAUGGAGGCAACUCUGAUCCAGCCAUGCCGCGUGCAGGAAGACUGCCCUAUGGGUUGUAAACUGCUUUUAUACAGGAAGAAACAUCUCUACGUGUAGAGGCUUGACGGUACUGUAAGAAUAAGGAUCGGCUAACUCCGUGCCAGCAGCCGCGGUAAUACGGAGGAUCCAAGCGUUAUCCGGAAUCAUUGGGUUUAAAGGGUCCGUAGGUGGAUAAUUAAGUCAGAGGUGAAAUCCUGCAGCUUAACUGUAGAAUUGCCUUUGAUACUGGUUGUCUUGAGUUGUUAUGAAGUAGUUAGAAUAUGUAGUGUAGCGGUGAAAUGCAUAGAUAUUACAUAGAAUACCAAUUGCGAAGGCAGAUUACUAAUAAUAUACUGACACUGAUGGACGAAAGCGUGGGGAGCGAACAGG